GACGUAGGGCGCGAGCGUUGUCCGGAUUUAUUGGGCGUAAAGAGCUCGUAGGCGGUUUGUCGCGUCGUUCGUGAAAACUCACAGCUUAACUGUGGACGUGCGGUGGAUACGGGCAGGCUUGAGUUCGGUAGGGGAGACUGGAAUUCCUGGUGUAGCGGUGAAAUGCGCAGAUAUCAGGAGGAACACCGGUGGCGAAGGCGGGUCUCUGGGCCGAUACUGACGCUCAGACACGAAAGCUAGGGGAGCGAACGGG
rnacentral:rRNA from 1 species